UACGUAGGGGGCUAGCGUUGUCCGGAAUCAUUGGGCGUAAAGCGCGUGUAGGCGGUCCGGUAAGUCCGCUGUGAAAGUCGGGGGCUCAACCCUCGGAUGCCGGUGGAUACUGUCGGGCUUGAGUACGGAAGAGGCGAGUGGAAUUCCUGGUGUAGCGGUGAAAUGCGCAGAUAUCAGGAGGAACACCAAUGGCGAAGGCAGCACUCUGGGACGGUACUGACGCUGAGACGCGAAAGCGUGGGGAGCAAACAGG
rnacentral:rRNA from 1 species